UACGUAGGGGGCAAGCGUUGUCCGGAUUUAUUGGGCGUAAAGAGCGUGUAGGCGGCUAGAUAGGUCCGUUGUGAAAACUCGAGGCUCAACCUCGAGACGUCGAUGGAAACCAUCUGGCUAGAGUCCGGAAGAGGAGAGUGGAAUUCCUGGUGUAGCGGUGAAAUGCGCAGAGAUCGGGAAGAACAUCAGUGGCGAAGGCGGUCUGCUGGGCCGUUGCUGACGCUGAGGCGCGACAGCGUGGGGAGCAAACAGG
rnacentral:rRNA from 1 species